GAUGAACGCUAGCGACAGGCUUAACACAUGCAAGUCGAGGGGCAGCACAGGUAGCAAUACCGGGUGGCGACCGGCGCACGGGUGAGUAACGCGUAUGCAACUUACCUAUCAGAGGGGGAUAACCCGGCGAAAGUCGGACUAAUACCGCAUAAAGCAGGGAUCCCGCAUGGGGAUAUUUGCUAAAGAUUCAUCGCUGAUAGAUAGGCAUGCGUUCCAUUAGGCAGUUGGCGGGGUAACGGCCCACCAAACCGACGAUGGAUAGGGGUUCUGAGAGGAAGGUCCCCCACAUUGGUACUGAGACACGGACCAAACUCCUACGGGAGGCAGCAGUGAGGAAUAUUGGUCAAUGGGCGUAAGCCUGAACCAGCCAAGUCGCGUGAGGGAUGAAGGUUCUAUGGAUCGUAAACCUCUUUUAUAAGGGAAUAAAGUUCGGGACGUGUCCCGUUUUGUAUGUACCUUAUGAAUAAGGAUCGGCUAACUCCGUG
rnacentral:rRNA from 1 species